GCACUGGCGGUUCAGUGGUAGAAUUCUUGCCUUCCAUGCAGGAGACCUGAGUUCGGUUCCCAGGCAGUGCA
rnacentral:tRNA from 1 species